CAAGUGAAAUCUCUGCAGAUCAAGAAUGCUAAGAUCCAAGGCCUUAAAACGGAAAGCCAACUAUGGUAGAUAAAACAGGUUGCCAUCAUCUUCAUCAAGCCUUCAUGAGGGCUAACCAGCCAAAGGCACUGCAGAUGAAUAUAUCUGAAUCUUACUAAGAUACUGUACAGAGGAGAUGGAGGAGGUCUGAAGUGACAUCAGAGACAAAGGGAAGAAACAGGCACUGCCCGUCAUUCGAGGAAUGGUCUGACAGCCCCAGGCUGGAGAAUGUGUCUCUCCCAAGUGCUCUGUCACCCUGGUAACCAUGGAGACCAUGACGAUCGAUUAGAUGCCAUCUGAUCUCAACCUCAUAAAAAAAAAAAAAAAGGGCAGCAGAUGGCAACCAGGCCACUAGACCUGUCUCAAGAGAGACACGAAGGAAGAGAGAAAGGGGAGAAAGGAGAUACUGUGGUAGACUGAUGCCCAGAGAAGAAAGCACAGAAGCAGUUCUGGAAAUGAACAUCUUGGAAAAGAGUGGAAAUAGAAACAGAAAGCAAGGCAGGCAGGAAUCAGGGAAAGAGGGGAGACAAUGCAAAAAAGAAGCUGCAUCCAAUUGUGCAAUAUAUCUCCAUAGUGAGUGAAGGAGGGAAAGCAAACCACCUCUUUCCCCACUUUUUCCUUGGGUCUGUAGGUCCCAGAACGCUCUGGAAUCCGGGCCAUAAGGUCUCUGAGGGGCAUUCACAAGGCUGUCCUUACGGCUCUCGUAUCAGUUGGAAUUGGAUGCAUCCGUAGAAGAACCCUG
ensembl:lncRNA